UUAUAUACUAAGUUAUGAUAACGUAUUAAAAUGAAACAAACUUAUAUUUUAAAUCACCAAAAAAUAAAUAUUAAAAAAAAUCAGUUAAAGCAUGCGAUUAUCAUUUUGUGAUUAUAGUGAAAACACCUGUUCCAUGUUACAUUGUUUAUCACAUAAAGACUUAAUUUUCAUUUAAUGAAAAUGAAAACCAACUAAGCAUACCUGCUCCAACUCGCUCUCACUCUACCCCCAAACCAACCAAGCAUACCUGCUCCAACUCGCUCUCACUCUACCCC
rnacentral:lncRNA from 1 species